AUGGCUGUAAUAAAAAAGAUGCACGAUCAUUAAAUUAGUCUAUUCAUUUUCUAAAGACAACAAAUGAUGCUAAAGAUUUCAUUUAUAUGCUUUGCUUGACAGCUUUUUACAUAAGUUUACAACUCUUGCCUGUAAGAUGAAAAAACUAAAACUAAAAAUUGUAAGCUAGCUCUAAUCUGAAGCUCAGACUGCUACUUCAUGGUUCUUCAUUUCAUAGGUUCAAUCGAGAAGUUACAUAAACAAAAUCAUCCUCAUUGCAAGGAAUUGUUAGACCACCCGUUGGAUGAUGAAAUCCAAACUCUUCUUCUGCUUUCCGUAACAAGUUCUGGAACGAAGGAUGAUCCAGGUAUGUUAUUGGCACCAUAUACCUUUUCUUCUCUCUCUUACCUACAUAAACCACAAAAUGUCCUUUCGGGACAUCUGAGGUAUGUUAUUGGCACCAUAUACCUUUCUUCUCUCUCUCACCUACAUAAACUGCAAAAUGUCCUUUCUGAACAUCUGAAUGACUCCUUGUUAGAAGAGAC
rnacentral:lncRNA from 1 species